GAGAUCGUACUUCUAGGGAUCAGUCCUAUAGUACGUAUCACCAGGACGUCAAACAAAUCUAUGGUAAUCUUUUCAUA
rnacentral:snoRNA from 1 species